UGUUAAUAUUAUUAUAUUAGAAUAUGUAAUAUGCAUAAAUAUUCAAGGAACAAUCUAAAUUGCAGUGUACGAACUUAACAUGAACAGGAAUGACAUUUACACUAAACGGGUGACCAAAAAGAACUAUCUGAAAGCCACGCCUCCAAUAAGCCACGCCUUCAAUCUGAUAGGCUGCCACCUCUACAAUAUAUAAUGAAAAAGGGUACAAAAAAAUAACUCCUACCAUCACAAAAAGGAUCCGGUUUGAAACUUUACCCAGGAGUUCCUCGACGACCCUUUUCAGAGGGGGUUUCCUCGACGACCCUUUUCAGAGGGGGUUUCCUCGACGACCCUUUUCAGAGGGGGUUUCCUCGACGACCCUUUUCAGAGGGGGUUUCUCGACGACCCUUUUCAGAGGGGGUUUCCUCGACGACCCUUUUCAGAGGGGGUUUCUCGACGACCCUUUUUCAAAUGUAAACGUUCCACCGGUGUGGCAAACCAAAAGGUUCUUCCAGACACCGUUUCUUUUAAGAGUGAAUAAUGACCUUUCAUUCAGGCCCCACUGUUCUAGCAAAACAAAACAUGGUGGGGGCUGUCUGUUGUGGUAGGCCGGUGACGACGACCGCCGAGCGCCACUCGAACAGGAAGAGGAGCUACCUUCGGUAGGAGUCGUGACAGUUGUUGUCUGUUGUGCAUGUUAUUUUGGCAUUAAUACGUGUCACAUAUCAGUUUGCAAACAAUGUAAAAAAAUAAAUAAAAAAUGAACAAACAAUUUAGUUAAUAAAGCCGCAUACAAACUUGGUUUAUUUUUUUUGCUUUCUUGAGUAAGGCAGGUCCAAAAUGCAGGUGUUUCAGCCUAGCUCAGUGCUUUAUGUGGUGGUGGGGCCGCCACUCAUGGGGACACUACGUCACCACCAAAUCUAAGGGUGGAGCUUGACAAUUCAAUCCCCUUGGGUGCUGCCAUAGAGUUACAUUAGAAGUGUCCAUCCAAGAAGGACCUCAAGGUCAUUGGCUUACAGAAAGAAUUACGUCAAAUCACGUGAUAUCUACAGCAGCUUUGAUUGGACUGAUCAUGUCAACAUCGUACUUUCAAAAUCUUAGCUAGCAGUCAUCAUCAUGAAUCAAGUCGACAAUCUACUCGCAAAUCCUUUUUAAUCCUUUUCAUAUGAAGAUAAAUAAUUAAGAGAAAUUAUAGAUAAAACGUAUCGGUGCUCAUCGGCCAUUGGACAUAAACAUUCCACAACAAGUUGGAAAUUGCAAAUUCAACAAUGAGAGGUUUGGAAGGAAUCAGUGGCUAACUGCAAGCAUUGCAAAGCAAUCACUAUCCUGCUAUUCAGUGGAGUGGCUGUGUGGUCCAAGUCUGGGUUUAAGGGUCUCUUUUCCAAACUUAAAAGGAUAAACAUUCAACAUUGGCCAUGCUGUCAAUCCAGCAUGACUUCUGCCUCCUAGCUCGCUCAUUGUCUUAAACUAAAUGACAGAUGGCCUCUUAUCCGCUUGUCGUCCCCUUAUGCCAGAGUUUGUUACAUCUCAAUUGUCAGUAGAAACCACAUUUGUUUAAGUAAGUCAGCCAUAUCAGCUCUGUUUUUUUAAAAGGCAGUAAAUGAGUCUGAAUGAACUGUUUUUGCUGCCAGAAAAGGCUCCACUGAUAGCUAGGUGUAGCAGUGGUAAGAUGUUGGGUGGCAGGGUAGCCUAGUGGUUAGAGCGGUGGACUAGUUAACCGGAAGGUUGCAAGUUCAAAUCCCCAAGCUGACAAGGUACAACUCUGUCGUUCUGCCCCUGAACAAGGCAGUUAACCCACUGUUCCUAGGCCGUCAUUGAAAAUAAGAAUUUGUUCUUAACUGACCUGCCUAGUUAAAUAAAGGUUAAAAAAAAUGUGGGGACUGCUGUUGGGACUCUGCUGUUGGGACUCCACUGAUAGCCAGGUGUAGCAGUGGUAAGAUGUGGGGACUGCUGUUGGGACUCCACUGAUAGCCAGGUGUAGCAGUGGUAAGAUGUGGGGACUGCUGUUGGGACUCCACUGAUAGCCAGGUGUAGCAGUGGUAAGAUGUGGGGACUGCUGUUGGGACUCUGCUGUUGGGACUCCGCUGAUAGCCAGGUGUAGCAGUGGUAAGAUGUGGGGACUGCUGUUGGGACUCUACUGUUGGGACUCCACUGAUAGCCAGGUGUAGCAGUGGUAAGAUGUGGGGACUGCUGUUGGGACUCUGCUGUUGGGACUCCACUGAUAGCCAGGUGUAGCAGUGGUUAAGAUGUGGGGACUGCUGUUGGGACUCUGCUGUUGGGACUCCACUGAUAGCCAGGUGUAGCAGUGGUAAGAUGUGGGGACUGCUGUUGGGACUCCACUGAUAGCCAGGUGUAGCAGUGGUAAGAUGUGGGGACUGCUGUUGGGACUCCACUGAUAGCCAGGUGUAGCAGUGGUAAGAUGUGGGGACUGCUGUUGGGACUCCGCUGAUAGCCAGGUGUAGCAGUGGUAAGAUGUGGGGACUGCUGUUGGGACUCUGCUGUUGGGACUCCACUGAUAGCCAGGUGUAGCAGUGGUAAGAUGUGGGGACUGCUGUUGGGACUCUACUGUUGGGACUCCACUGAUAGCCAGGUGUAGCAGUGGUAAGAUGUGGGGACUGCUGUUGGGACUCUGCUGUUGGGACUCCACUGAUAGCCAGGUGUAGCAGUGGUAAGAUGUGGGGACUGCUGUUGUGACUCUGCUGUUGGGACUCCACUGAUAGCCAGGUGUAGCAGUGGUAAGAUGUGGGGACUGCUGUUGGGACUCUGCUGUUGGGACUCCACUGAUAGCCAGGUGUAGCAGUGGUAAGAUGUGGGGACUGCUGUUGGGACUCUGCUGUUGGGACUCCACUGAUAGCCAGGUGUAGCAGUGGUAAGAUGUGGGGACUGCUGUUGGGACUCCACUGAUAGCCAGGUGUAGCAGUGGUAAGAUGUGGGGACUGCUGUUGGGACUCUGCUGUUGGGACUCCACUGAUAGCCAGGUGUAGCAGUGGUAAGAUGUGGGGACUGCUGUUGUGACUCCACUGAUAGCCAGGUGUAGCAGUGGUAAGAUGUGGGGACUGCUGUUGGGACUCUGCUGUUGGGACUCCACUGAUAGCCAGGUGUAGCAGUGGUAAGAUGUGGGGACUGCUGUUGUGACUCUGCUGUAAGGGCCUACAUAAAGCUGUCCCAACAGUUUGUGGACAACAUUUGUCACCGUUAUAGUGCAGUUAAUGUAUUGUUAAGUGUUGUGGGUUUGCUGGCAUCUCAAAAAAUAUAAAUAUUUUUGCCCCUCCAAGAUUUACAUGCUAAAAUCACCACUGAUAAUGAUUGGGGAUUUACAUUAGUGAGGUAAGGACUGCAUUUGAAUUUUUUCCCAGAGUGCACUUGUUCCCUUUGUAAAAACAAUGUAUGACUCCAUUGGGAUUGACUUCACAUUAAAAUGAUGUGAAUGGCAGUGAAACAGUAUAAAAUGACAGAAGUUCCCUCUGGGGAAAAAUGUAGUAAUUCCAUUCUAUUCUAAUUAACGAUUUUGAAAUGUGCCACUGAAACGAAUUACUUCUCACAAAGUUAAUUAUGUUCUAACACCCCCCCCACCCUAAUUGAAAGGGAAAUGUCUGGUUUUGUCAGCAUGAUUAAAUAAAUAAAAAUAAAAAAAGUGCAUUUGAGACCAAUGCUGAAUGGUGUCCUUAGAGCCACUUUUGAGCCCUAAUGGCUGGCUAGUGGCAUCGGAGGUCAUUCAGGUUCAAUAGCACUGAAGGAAACUGACAUCCACCCAUAGAUAUUGUAUGUCAAUGUGAGGUACUGAUUCACCAGACACUUAGCAGCACCCCUGGCUCAUCGCUUUAACACAACAAUAUUGUAAAUAGCAUCUAUUUUGUAACUUUUGGUCCCUGAACCUUGAAGGGAAGGUAGGGUGGGGAGGUAGGGUGGGGAGGUAGGGUGGGGAGGUAGGGUGGGGAGGGUAGGGUGGGGAGGGUAGGGUAGGGAGGGUAGGGUAGGGAGGGUAGGGUGGGGAGGUAGGGUGGGGAGGGUAGGGUGGGGAGGUAGGGUGGGGAGGUAGGGUGGGGAGGUAGGGUGGGGAGGUAGGGUGGGGGAGGUAGGGUGGGGAGGUAGGGUGGGGAGGUAGGGUGGGGAGGUAGGGUGGGGAGGGGGGGGGGGGGGUAGGGUGGGGAGGGGGGGGGUGGGGGAGGUAGGGUGGGGAGGUAGGGUGGGGAGGUAGGGUGGGGAGGUAGGGUGGGAGGUAGGGUGGGGAGGUAGGGUGGGGAGGUAGGGUGGGGAGGUAGGGUGGGGAGGUAGGGUUGGGGAGUAGGGUGGGGAGGUAGGGUUAGGGGCAGGUAGGGUGGGGAGGUAGGGAGGGGAGG
ensembl:lncRNA